ACAGUACAAACUGAGUAGGCGAUAAUCUUUCUGAUUAUGGGGCUGGGCCGUUAUCGGCAGCAGGUUGUAUGUUCACACACCUGCGGGACAGUU
ncrna:unclassified sequences NiCo riboswitch